UCAAAUCUGAGAGCUAACGAGCAAUGACACUUAUCAGUCACCACAGGAGAAGUAGAAAGCUGGGGGAAGGGGAGGGCAAGGGACCUCUGGGAGCAUGUAAGCGAUAAGGAUGCUGGGAUGCAUGCUGCGGGCUCACGUCUGAAGGACACUCCUCUUUCUCUGCCAGAUAGACCUUGAGAUGCUAAUUCGAAAGGAAGCUAGCAGCAAGAUGGUCUAUGAAUCACUUGAGAAUGUGAAUGGAAAACAGAUAAAAGGGUGAUCUUUAUAAAGAUGUAUUGGAGAAUGUGGUUCAGUUUCAUGCAUAUCCUAAUAGUAGCUACAUGUUUUGAUCCUGGUUCGACCACAUCUCCUCCCAAAACUUGUCCAGACCUUUGCAGAUGUGUUUGUAAGCAUGUACAGCAAUUACUACCUCCAUGCUUCUUCUUGGGCCUUAGAUUUGGACCAUGUGACCUGGCCACAGUGGAGAAUUCCAUUGGAUGAUUUGGAGGACACAAUAAGAAACUAUGCCCACGUACAUGCUGAAAUUGCAAGGCAAAUGUAUCCUAAAGGUGAAACCUUGGCCCUCACGAAGACUGGCAGAUCCUGAGCUGUGUUGGAGAAACUCGUUUUCACAAACGAGCAAACCCUUUCUUCCCAGACAGAACCUCACAUUGCUCCUUACAGCUCCUCCUCAUGCUUUUUCCAAAAUGAAGCUGAUCAACUGCGGGUGUGAACGACAGAUCCCUACAACUUUACAGUAAGCUCAAUCCUGGGGAAAGGGCUAGCUUUACCGCUGCCAUUGAAGAGGCCGUCUCUUCUAGGGAUGAGAGCAGACUAGAUUAGAAGGCAGUAUUUUUCUUCCCAGACACCAUCUUCAGAGGUUAUGACCCCAGUGCAUAUAGUGAAACACACUUGUUCUUGUUCUGUCUCUACCACUGAGUGAUUGCAUUCAACACUUAAAAUAGUAUUUAUUCUUCACUUAGAGUAUUAUUCUUCACUUACAGUAAAAUGAGGUACAUAGAAAUGUAUGUGUCUGUGUGUUCAUGUAUGUACCUGGGCAUGUGUGUCUGUGCUUGUGUGUGUAUGUAUGUAAAUAUGUGUGUACCUGUGCAUAUAUGUAUAUGUAUGUGUGAUUGUAUAUCUGUAUAGAAUGCAUGAAGGUUUGUGUGAGUGUGUGCAUAUGUGUUGUAUUAAUAUUGAAGAGGUCAGCUCAGGACCUUUGGAAAAUUCUACAAGACCCCUCCCCUCCAGAAGGGAGAGGCUAGUUCCUCAGACCACCGGGUGGACAGGCCAACCAUUGCCCACCUGCAGAUAAGGGAAGUCCUUGCCACCUCAUUCCCUAAGGACCAAUCAGUUUAAAAGCCACACAGUUCUGCCAAUCACAUUGUGCCUAGUGGCUGUUGCUCUAUUCUACCACUGAAAACUGCAUACAAACUGGCUGAACAGGUUGCCUGAGGUCGCUGCCUCUCCUUCGGAUGCAGGAUGACCCUAGCGUGCUGGAACAAUAAACUCUUGCUUUUGCAACAAU
rnacentral:lncRNA from 1 species